rnacentral:rRNA from 1 species
GAUGAACGCUAGCGGGAGGCCUAACACAUGCAAGCCGAGCGGUAUUGUUUCUUCGGAAAUGAGAGAGCGGCGUACGGGUGCGGAACACGUGUGCAACCUGCCUUUAUCUGGGGGAUAGCCUUUCGAAAGGAAGAUUAAUACUCCAUAAUAUAUUGAACGGCAUCGUUUAAUAUUGAAAGCUCCGGCGGAUAGAGAUGGGCACGCGCAAGAUUAGCUAGUUGGCGAGGUAACGGCUCACCAAGGCGAUGAUCUUUAGGGGGCCUGAGAGGGUGAUCCCCCACACUGGUACUGAGACACGGACCAGACUCCUACGGGAGGCAGCAGUGAGGAAUAUUGGUCAAUGGGUGCAAGCCUGAACCAGCCAUCCCGCGUGAAGGACGACUGCCCCAUGGGUUGUAAACUUCUUUUGUAUAGGGAUAAACCUACCCUCGUGAGGGUAGCUGAAGGUACUAUACGAAUAAGCACCGGCUAACUCCGUGCCAGCAGCCGCGGUAAUACGGAGGGUGCAAGCGUUAUCCGGAUUUAUUGGGUUUAAAGGGUCCGUAGGCGGACUUAUAAGUCAGUGGUGAAAGCCUGUCGCUUAACGAUAGAACUGCCGUUGAUACUGUAAGUCUUGAGUAUAUUUGAGGUAGCUGGAAUAAGUAGUGUAGCGGUGAAAUGCAUAGAUAUUACUUAGAACACCAAUUGCGAAGGCAGGUUACCAAGAUAUAACUGACGCUGAGGGACGAAAGCGUGGGGAGCGAACAGGACUAGAUACCCUGGUAGUCCACGCCGUAAACGAUGCUAACUCGUUUUUGGGCUUUAGGGCUCAGAGACCAAGCGAAAGUGAUAAGUUAGCCACCUGGGGAGUACGCUCGCAAGAGUGAAACUCAAAGGAAUUGACGGGGGCCCGCACAAGCGGUGGAUUAUGUGGUUUAAUUCGAUGAUACGCGAGGAACCUUACCAAGACUUGAAUGGGAAUUGACAGCUUUAGAAAUAGAGCUUUCUUCGGACAAUUUUCAAGGUGCUGCAUGGUUGUCGUCAGCUCGUGCCGUGAGGUGUUAGGUUAAGUCCUGCAACGAGCGCAACCCCUGUCACUAGUUGCCAUCAUUCAGUUGGGGACUCUAGUGAGACUGCCUACGCAAGUAGAGAGGAAGGUGGGGAUGACGUCAAAUCAUCACGGCCCUUACGUCUUGGGCCACACACGUAAUACAAUGGCCGGUACAGAGGGCAGCUACACAGCGAUGUGAUGCAAAUCUCGAAAGCCGGUCUCAGUUCGGAUUGGAGUCUGCAACUCGACUCUAUGAAGCUGGAAUCGCUAGUAAUCGCGCAUCAGCCAUGGCGCGGUGAAUACGUUCCCGGGCCU